rnacentral:rRNA from 1 species
UACGGAGGGGGCUAGCGUUGUUCGGAAUUACUGGGCGUAAAGCGCGCGUAGGCGGACCUGCAAGUCGGGGGUGAAAGCCCGAGGCUCAACCUCGGAACUGCCUUCGAUACUGCGGGUCUCGAGUCCGGGAGAGGUGAGUGGAAUUCCUAGUGUAGCGGUGAAAUGCGCAGAUAUCAGGAGGAACACCAAUGGCGAAGGCAGCUCGCUGGGACGGUACUGACGCUGAGGCGCGAAAGCCAGGGGAGCAAACGGG